GCAGGUUCGGCUCCUCCCGAAUCGAGACGACGCGACACGAUCGUCGUCGUUGCUCGACUGGACGGCCGCCGCGCCGCGGUGUGUGUAUAUAAAUAGACGGUUUGCAAUCAACAAUUUUUAUUUCUAUUUAGACGAAACAUAUUGAGAAUGACGAUGACAUUCCAUAUACCUGUUAGAAAUGAGGUCUAGUUGUGGUGGUAACGGUGGUGGUAGGACUUUAACGACAGGACGGUUCAAUUGGGAUUGGUUGGCUGUCUAAAGCAGAAAAGCAGAAAAGCUGGCUCCUCGCCUAGGUGGAUAUUUCACGAUAGUUGAAGCGAAAAACGUUCGUUUUAAAGGAGAAAGGAUAAUAACGAGUGCGAGAGCCAUUUUCCAAGGGGGUUGUUGUUUGUAAGGAAUAUAUAUACAACUGAGAGAAUUGUUCGUGUAUACCAUCGCAAAAUCCGAGCGCUUUUGCUUUUCAUCGAAGAAAAGCUUUUUGUGAUAAAACUUGAAGGUAACGCAAAUUAUAGAGAGACUUAGAAAUGAA
rnacentral:lncRNA from 1 species